UUUUUUUUUGCUUUAAAUAGUUCCUUAGGGUCUCAGAAAUAACAUAUUGCAGGAUUAUGGCUCGGAAAAAUCUCUAAAUAAUUUAUUUUCGAAGUUCCUUGCAAGGCUGCACGGUACGCGGCGAGCUCAUUUUGUCAGUUCUACGGGGGGUGAUCUUUGAAGGAUCUACAGCAGGUAUACGGCAGAUGUUUUCAAAGGCGCUAGUUACUUGCUAGACUAUAGUGGUCAAUUAUAUGGUGCAGGCAUUGCAGAUUAAAGGAGCAGUUAGUUCGGCCACGUACCCCUUGAACCAUAGAGGAGUCGAAGGACGACCGCUACAGCGCCACCAUUCUUCAAGAAAUAUUUAUAAGAAAUUAUUUUUUUACACCUAAAAAGAUGUAUAAUAAACUUCUUAUAUUAUAUUUUUAA